CUGGCUCAGGAUGAACGCUAGCUACAGGCUUAACACAUGCAAGUCGAGGGGCAGCGAGAGGAAAGCUUGCUUCCUUGUCGGCGACCGGCGCACGGGUGAGUAACGCGUAUCCAACCUCCCCAUAGUAGAGGAUAGCCCGGCGAAAGUCGGAUUAAUACUCUAUGUUGUGUCAUGAGGACAUCUGAAUAACACUAAAGAUUUAUCGCUAUGGGAUGGGGAUGCGUCUGAUUAGGUAGUCGGCGGGGUAACGGCCCACCGAGCCGACGAUCAGUAGGGGUUCUGAGAGGAAGGUCCCCCACAUUGGUACUGAGACACGGACCAAACUCCUACGGGAGGCAGCAGUGAGGAAUAUUGGUCAAUGGACGAGAGUCUGAACCAGCCAAGUAGCGUGCAAGGAUGACUGCCCUAUGGGUUGUAAACUGCUUUUAUGCGGGAAUAAAGUCAGGUACGUGUACCUGUUUGUAUGUACCGCAUGAAUAAGGACCGGCUAAUUCCGUGCCAGCCGCUGC
rnacentral:rRNA from 1 species